GGGUUGUGAGGUUAAGCGACUAAGCGUACACGGUGGAUGCCCUGGCAGUCAGAGGCGAUGAAGGGCGUGCUAAUCUGCGAUAAGCGCCGGUAAGGUGAUAUGAACCGUUAUAACCGGCGAUACCCGAAUGGGGAAACCCAGUGUGACUCGUCACACUAUCAUUAACUGAAUCCAUAGGUUAAUGAGGCGAACCGGGGGAACUGAAACAUCUAAGUACCCCGAGGAAAAGAAAUCAACCGAGAUUCCCCCAGUAGCGGCGAGCGAACGGGGAGGAGCCCAGAGCCUGAAUCAGCAUGUGUGUUAGUGGAAGCGUCUGGAAAGGCGCGCGAUACAGGGUGACAGCCCCGUACACAAAAGCGCAUGUGCUGUGAGCUCGAUGAGUAGGGCGGGACACGUGGUAUCCUGUCUGAAUAUGGGGGGACCAUCCUCCAAGGCUAAAUACUCCUGACUGACCGAUAGUGAACCAGUACCGUGAGGGAAAGGCGAAAAGAACCCCGGCGAGGGGAGUGAAAAAGAACCUGAAACCGUGUACGUACAAGCAGUGGGAGCCCCACCACCAAAGCAUUCUCUGGUGUUGAAGGCCCUGCAAAGCAGCAUCGCGGUGGCGGAGCGUCGUUUGCGACGCCCAACACACAAAACAAGCGGUGAGUGCUUUGGGGUGGGGUGACUGCGUACCUUUUGUAUAAUGGGUCAGCGACUUAUAUUCUGUAGCAAGGUUAACCGUAUAGGGGAGCCGAAGGGAAACCGAGUCUUAACUGGGCGUUAAGUUGCAGGGUAUAGACCCGAAACCCGGUGAUCUAGCCAUGGGCAGGUUGAAGGUUGGGUAACACUAACUGGAGGACCGAACCGACUAAUGUUGAAAAAUUAGCGGAUGACUUGUGGCUGGGGGUGAAAGGCCAAUCAAACCGGGAGAUAGCUGGUUCUCCCCGAAAGCUAUUUAGGUAGCGCCUCGUGAACUCAUCUUCGGGGGUAGAGCACUGUUUCGGCUAGGGGGUCAUCCCGACUUACCAACCCGAUGCAAACUGCGAAUACCGAAGAAUGUUAUCACGGGAGACACACGGCGGGUGCUAACGUCCGUCGUGAAGAGGGAAACAACCCAGACCGCCAGCUAAGGUCCCAAAGUCACAGUUAAGUGGGAAACGAUGUGGGAAGGCUCAGACAGCCAGGAUGUUGGCUUAGAAGCAGCCAUCAUUUAAAGAAAGCGUAAUAGCUCACUGGUCGAGUCGGCCUGCGCGGAAGAUGUAACGGGGCUAAACUGUGCACCGAAGCUGCGGCAGCGACGCUUAUGCGUUGUUGGGUAGGGGAGCGUUCUGUAAGCCUGCGAAGGUGUCCUGUGAGGGAUGCUGGAGGUAUCAGAAGUGCGAAUGCUGACAUAAGUAACGAUAAUGCGGGUGAAAAGCCCGCUCGCCGGAAGACCAAGGGUUCCUGUCCAACGUUAAUCGGGGCAGGGUGAGUCGACCCCUAAGGCGAGGCCGAAAGGCGUAGUCGAUGGGAAACGGGUUAAUAUUCCCGUA
rnacentral:rRNA from 1 species